rnacentral:rRNA from 1 species
GACGAACGCUGGCGGCGUGCUUAACACAUGCAAGUCGAACGGAAAGGCCCCCUUGUGGGGUACUCGAGUGGCGAACGGGUGAGUAACACGUGAGUAACCUACCCUUGACUUUGGGAUAACUUCAGGAAACUGGGGCUAAUACCGGAUAGGAGCUCCUGCUGCAUGGUGGGGGUUGGAAAGUUUCGGCGGUUGGGGAUGGACUCGCGGCUUAUCAGCUUGUUGGUGGGGUAGUGGCUCACCAAGGCUUUGACGGGUAGCCGGCCUGAGAGGGGGACCGGCCACAUGGGGACGUAGAUACGGCCCAGCCCCCUACGGGAGGCAGCAGGGGGGAAUAUUGCACAAUGGGCGGAAGCCUGAUGCCGCACCCCCGCGUGGGGGAUGACGGCUUUCGGGUUGUAAACCGCUUUCGCCUGUGACGAAGGGUGAGUGACGGGAAGGGGUAAAGAAGCCCCGGCUAACCACG